GCCAGCUCUGCUCAGCUCUCCUCUGACUGUUCUCACAUGCAGUUUGUUGGGAUUAUGGAAAGCAGAAGCUGAGAGGAAUGUCUGCUGAGAGGAUAUCUGCUGUAUCACAUAUUUUGUCUGUUUCCAGUUCAGAGAUAUUUGACUUCCAGGAGAGAAUGUUAAAUGCUGCUCCCUUAUGGGUUGUCAAGAGUGAGGAAUUUCAUGUGAAAUCUAAAGGCACCUACAACUUGAGUGGGACCUUUGGAACUGCUGCCCCAGACUCAGCAAUGCUUUGCCUUGGCAGACACCAAUACAAUACAGAUGGUAAAGGAUAGAACGUUUUCUUGGAUAAAACAUCUGGCUGUUUCAUGAUCUUCACAAGCUGCUGGCUUCUGAGCAGGCUAACCCAAGGAGAUUUGUGUGGUCUCACCGGAUGCUGAGUGCUUAUGAAGACACUGAAGAUAUCCUUUGCCAAUACUCUUAAGUGCUCUCCUGGAUUUUGAUGGUCAAAUUUUGUAAGAGAUAUCUCGUCAGUGCUUGUCCCAUCUCUUCCCUAAGUGAUUGCAUCGGAUGAGCAGAAAAGGAUGGAUAAUUGCCUAUUGGAUUCUGAUGUGGUCUCUUUUGAGAAGGGGAGAGAAAUAUAUUCCCUGCUUCCCAGCUGAAGGAAACAACUGUCUCUCUGGAACAAAUCAGUGGCUCAAGGCUGAAAUUGCUUGAAAAUGAUGCCUAAUACUUUGUUAACAUCCUCUGGUUUGGGGCUCUUAUACUUAAAAACAAGAGGGUCACACUGAAAAUAAACCAUGCUCCACAUCUGGCUUUUCCUUCAAAAAACCUCUCAUGGUUAAGUGAGUGAACUACCCACCAUUAACAAGUUGCUGACUUUUUUUUUUAUGUGCUCAACCGAGUGUGAAGUGACAGUAUCUAUUUUCUGCUCUCUCUCAAUGAAUAAGCUGCUUACAUCUGGACUGGGAUCUGCUGCUACAGAAGAUGCUUUCCUGCAUAUUUUCCUCCACAGAAAAUGGAUGCUACGUAAACCAGUGGCUCUGGGCUGUUCCUUCUUGCAAACAAGUGCAGAUGGAGCAGUGAAGUGCAACUUUUCAGUCUGAGGUAAAUUUUGUGCAAAAUUUAAAUAAAUUUAACAAAGAAAGGACCUGUCCUGUGGACUGAGAAGGAUUGCUGGAUGCUUUGAGCUCUUUGACCUCUGCCACUGUGGAGUCAGAGUAGAGGAAAUAACAUUGGUAACUCAGUACAUUAGAGUACUGAGCCUUCCCUACACAGACAUCAGUUGAGUUCCCUGCAAGAAAAUUCACUAUCUCUGCAUGGAUUCGCUUAUUCAUGCUUGGGGAGGAGCAGAAGAGGAAGGGAGGGAGUUAAAACAGUUCAGUGUAUACAGAAAUCAAUGGAAAGAUUCACAUCAACU